CUUCUCCUUUGUGGCCGCGUGGAUUGUUUGGCGUGGCAGCUCGCGCAUCACACUCUCUACCAGACAGCUGACGCCCGGUGCGUUUGAGGAGGAUUGGCUCCUCCGGAGGUUCCCGGUCUUGCAGUGUUGCAACUAUUGUGGGAUUUGGCCGUGGGAUUGUUGGGUCUCUCUCUCCCUUCCCUGUGGGCUCUGUGGCUGCAACUGGCCGCACAGGCUGGGGUGCCAUAAACAUUCUCCCUUCCUGGUGGGCUCUGUGGCAGCGCCUAGCUGUAAAAGUUGGGACGCCGUAACCACUCUCCCCACCUCUGGUCAUCAUUCCCC